rnacentral:rRNA from 1 species
GCCUCUUUUAUGGGGUGACUGCGUACCUUUUGUAUAAUGGGUCAGCGACUUAUAUUCUGUAGCAAGGUUAACCGAAUAGGGGAGCCGAAGGGAAACCGAGUCUUAACUGGGCGUUAAGUUGCAGGGUAUAGACCCGAAACCCGGUGAUCUAGCCAUGGGCAGGUUGAAGGUUGGGUAACACUAACUGGAGGACCGAACCGACUAAUGUUGAAAAAUUAGCGGAUGACUUGUGGCUGGGGGUGAAAGGCCAAUCAAACCGGGAGAUAGCUGGUUCUCCCCGAAAGCUAUUUAGGUAGCGCCUCGUGAAUUCAUCUCCGGGGGUAGAGCACUGUUUCGGCAAGGGGGUCAUCCCGACUUACCAACCCGAUGCAAACUGCGAAUACCGGAGAAUGUUAUCACGGGAGACACACGGCGGGUGCUAACGUCCGUCGUGAAGAGGGAAACAACCCAGACCGCCAGCUAAGGUCCCAAAGUCAUGGUUAAGUGGGAAACGAUGUGGGAAGGCCCAGACAGCCAGGAUGUUGGCUUAGAAGCAGCCAUCAUUUAAAGAAAGCGUAAUAGCUCACUGGUCGAGUCGGCCUGCGCGGAAGAUGUAACGGGGCUAAA